GACGAACGCUGGCGGCGUGCCUAAUACAUGCAAGUUGAGCGAUGAAGAUUGGUGCUUGCACCAAUUUGAAGAGCAGCGCACGGGUGUGUCACGCGAGUGGAAUCUGCUUUUGAGCGGGGGACAACCUUUGGACACGAAUUCUAAUACCGCAUAACAACUUUCAACAUAAGUUUUAAGUUUGAAAGAUGCAAUUGCAUCACUCAAAGAUGAUCCCGCGUUGUAUUAGCUAGUUGGUGAGGUAAAGGCGCACCAAGGCGAUGAUACAUAGCCGACCUGAGAGGGUAAGCGGCCGGAUUGGGAGUGUGACACGCCCCAAUCGGCUACAGAUGGCAGCAGUAGUGAAUCUGCGGCAAGGGAUGAAAGACUGACCGAGCAACGCGGCAUGAGUAAAGAAGGAUGUCGGAUCGGAAAUCACGGUUGGUAGAGAAGAACGUUGGUGAGAGUGGAAAGCUCAGCAAGUGACGGUAACUACUCAGAAAGGAACGGCUAACUACGUG
rnacentral:rRNA from 1 species